rnacentral:rRNA from 1 species
AGUGAACGCUGGCGGUAGGCCUAACACAUGCAAGUCGAACGGCAGCACAGUAAGAGCUUGCUCUUACGGGUGGCGAGUGGCGGACGGGUGAGGAAUACAUCGGAAUCUACUUUUUUGUGGGGGAUAACGUAGGGAAACUUACGCUAAUACCGCAUACGACCUACGGGUGAAAGCAGGGGAUCUUCGGACCUUGCGCGAUUGAAUGAGCCGAUGUCGGAUUAGCUAGUUGGCGGGGUAAAGGCCCACCAAGGCGACGAUCCGUAGCUGGUCUGAGAGGAUGAUCAGCCACACUGGAACUGAGACACGGUCCAGACUCCUACGGGAGGCAGCAGUGGGGAAUAUUGGGCAAUGGGCGCAAGCCUGACCCAGCCAUGCCGCGUGGGUGAAGAAGGCCUUCGGGUUGUAAAGCCCUUUUAUUGGGGAAGAAAAGCAGCAGGUUAAUACCCCGCUGUUCUGACGGUACCCAAAGAAUAAGCACCGGCUAACUUCGUG